CUGCGCCGUAAAUUUUUUAACCUUAUUAGAUUUAUCCAUUUUGUUAAUAUUAAUUAUAGUUUAGUCCAUAUUCAAAACUCUGGUUUCACAUAAUUCAUCAUUCCAUUUUCGUUUUCUGAUAACCAGCCCACGUUGUCAUAGUAUCAUUUUUCCAUUUCCAUUUACCCAAGGUCCCCGUCAAAGUCGUCGUUGAUAUUUAAAGUCUGUAAAUUUUGCCUGUGUCGAUAUGGCUUCCAAAGUCCACUCCUACAUGAAGUUAACUGAACAACCGUUUAUUCCUCAAAACCUUACAUCCGUUCCUUAAAACGCUUUUACGUGUGUUGUUCAUUUUCAUUCCUUACAUAUUCUACCUUCUAUUGUUCUCCU
rnacentral:misc_RNA from 1 species